rnacentral:rRNA from 1 species
AUUGAACGCUGGCGGAAUGCUUUACACAUGCAAGUCGAACGGCAGCACGGACUUCGGUCUGGUGGCGAGUGGCGAACGGGUGAGUAAUGUAUCGGAACGUGCCCAGGCGUGGGGGAUAACGUAGUGAAAAUUACGCUAAUACCGCAUACGAUCUAUGGAUGAAAGCGGGGGAUCGCAAGAACUCGCGCGAUUGGAGCGGCCGAUAUCAGAUUAGGGAGUUGGUGGGGUAAAGGCCCACCAAGCCAACGAUCUGUAGCUGGUCUGAGAAGACGACCAGCCACACUGGAACUGAGACACGGUCCAGUCUCCUACGGGAGGCAGCAGUGGGGAAUUUUGGACAAUGGGCGAAAGCCUGAUCCAGCCAUUCCGCGUGCAGGAUGAAGGCCCUCGGGUUGUAAACUGCUUUUGUACAGAACGAAAAGGUUUCUACUAAUACUAGGAGCUCAUGACGGUACUGUAAGAAUAAGCACCGGCUAACUACGUGCCAGCAGCCGCCGUAA